UAACAACGAACCGUGAGAAGUCAGCCAAGGUCAUAGUAGUGAGGAAGUCUCUGUAAUGGAGAUGGAGCGAAGGAC
rnacentral:ncRNA from 1 species